rnacentral:rRNA from 1 species
CCUACGGGAGGCAGCAGUGGGGAAUAUUGGGCAAUGGAGGCAACUCUGACCCAGCAAUGCCGCGUGAGUGAUGAAGGUAUUCUGAUUGUAAAGCUCUUUUCUUUGGGACGAAUAAAUGACGGUACCAAAGGAAUAAGCUCCGGCUAACUACGUGCCAGCAGCCGCGGUAAUACGUAGGGGGCAGGCGUUGUUCGGAAUGAAUGGGGGGAAAGGGUGUGUAGGUGGUUUGUUAAGUUAGAUGUGUAAUACCCAGGGCUUAACUCGGGUGCUGCAUCUAAAACUGUUAGACUUGAGUACUGGAGAGGAGAGUGGAAUUCCAUGUGUAGCGGUGGAAUGCGUAGAUAUUAGGAGGAACAUCAGUGGCGAAGGCGACUAUCUGGACAGCAACUGACACUGAGGCACGAAAGCGUGGGGAGCAAACAGGAUUAGAUACCCUAGUAGUC